GCCCAACGGUUUUAAGCAUGCGCACUAGCGCUUGCCCGGAACCGUUAGCCCUGCGGUGGGUGCAGUCAGGCGGAGCGCACUGCGCAGGCGCGCUGCAGGACGCCCCACCCCUGGCGGGGGUUCAUCCAAUCCCCGCGGAGGCACCAAACCAGAGAGGAGAUGGCGGGGCGGCCCGGGUCCUCCGGCGGGAGCCCGAGGAAGCCAAGGUGCGGGCUGAGGAGGCCAGAGGCGAUCAUCGCGACACUGGCUUGCUGAGUGACGGUGCGCAGCUCGCCGGGGAGGGGACAGCAGCUCGUGUCAACUGUGGGAAAGUUCCGGAAGAACAGCGAGCGUAGAGAAGAAAAGUGAAAAGUGCACCCCGGAAGGACGUGCUCCUGGCUGCCUCGCGGGAAUUUUCAAACUUAAAGCGGAGAGAAUUGUAGGAGCAACUCGUGCAAGCCGACCCCUCAGCUGGGUGACGCUCUGCUCCUGUGGCCCCUCUGUGAAACGCCGUCACCAACAGCGCCCUGGUGGCUCCCUCAGACCUGCCUGUGGCCCUCAGCUGGGUGACGCUCUGCUCCUGUGGCCCCUCUGUGAAACGCUGUCACCAGCAGCCUCCUGGUGGCUCCCUCAGACCUGCCUGCAGUGGUGUGGCCUUGGUGCAGGGCAUGUGCUCCACAAUGUCUGCACACAAUGAAGGUUGAAUAGUGACAUAAGCUUAGCACAGAAAGCUUGCUUGGAUCGGGUGGCCUUCAGGGACAGCCCCUUCUAAGGACAAAGGAAAAUGGGACAGAUGCACAUAUAUCCCUUUUAUUAAGCACCUGCUGUGGCCACCACUGUUUCAAGUUCCUCAAAUAAGCCAAUAUACUUAGAUGAAGGCUUAGUCAACAUUAAUAUAAUCAGCAUUACCAGUGCCUUAGUUGGUUCAGGCUUCUAUAACAGAAAUACCAUAAACUACAGAGUUUUAUUUCUCACAGUUCUGGAGUGUGGAGCUCCAAGACCAAGCUGCUGGCUGAUUUGGUGUCUGGUGAGCGCCAGCGUCCUGAUUCCAAGAUGACCAUCUUCUUGCUGUGGUAGAAAGGGCAAGGGAGCUCUCUGGGGUCCCUUUUAUACGGGAACUAAUCCCAGAGGAUGAUCUCAGGGGAAGGGCGUUCCCACAGAGGCACAGCCAAGGCAAAAGUGCAGAGGCUGGCAGUGUGGGGUGGGAAGGCCCAGGGGAGGGUGUGGAGAUGCAUGAAGCCUCCUACUUCAGACCCUGACCUCCUGCAGGCCAAUCCCAAGCCCCCCGGAGUCAGGAGAAAGACCCAGAGCUGCCCACCAAGCAGGGCCAAUGCCCUCCCAGGCAAGGAGGACCAACUCUUCCCUGGAGCUUAUUCCAUGGGCUUUGGGAAGCAAAGCCUCCAGUGCAGUUGCUUUGGUGUCAUCUGUGCAGGGAGGGUGGGGGUCGUCUGGCCCCCGAGACUGGGUGAACCCUUAGCCACACUCUGGCUUUGACUUCAGCCAGAGUCCCACAGCAGGCACUCAAUAAAUGCUUCCCAAAACCUCA